GAUGAACGCUGGCGGCGUGCCUAAUACAUGCAAGUCGAGCGAACAGACGAGGGGCUUGCUCCUCUGACGUUAGCGGCGGACGGGUGAGUAACACGUGGAUAACCUACCUAUAAGACUGGGAUAACUUCGGGAAACCGGAGCUAAUACCGGAUAAUAUAUUGAACCGCAUGGUUCAAUAGUGAAAGACGGUUUUGCUGUCACUUAUAGAUGGAUCCGCGCCGCAUUAGCUAGUUGGUAAGGUAACGGCUUACCAAGGCAACGAUGCGUAGCCGACCUGAGAGGGUGAUCGGCCACACUGGAACUGAGACACGGUCCAGACUCCUACGGGAGGCAGCAGUAGGGAAUCUUCCGCAAUGGGCGAAAGCCUGACGGAGCAACGCCGCGUGAGUGAUGAAGGUCUUCGGAUCGUAAAACUCUGUUAUUAGGGAAGAACAAAUGUGUAAGUAACUAUGCACGUCUUGACGGUACCUAAUCAGAAGGCCACGGCUAACUACGUG
rnacentral:rRNA from 1 species